AUCCACUCAUCCUCUCGCUCGGGUCUCACCUGCCUCGCCUCUGCCUCUUGCUCGCGCUGCCGCAUCCUUGCUCCGGCGAACCCCACCACCAGCCACGCAGGGAGCUGCAACCGGAGGACAGGGGAGCUGUAACCGGCCACUCCGGGAGCUGCAACCGGCAGGCAGAGGAGCUACAAGCCGGGAACCAAACCGCCGACCGUCGUGCUAGAAACAGCACGCAAGGGUGCUACAACCGGCAGAUCAAAGAGCUAUAACUGCGGUUAGUUUUUGCUGGGACCGGUGAGAAAUUUCGCUGCAUCCAUUGACGGUGAGCCUUUCUUUGCUGGAACCGGCUUUCUUUUUAGCUGGAACCAUGUUUUUGUUUUGCUGGAAUCUUGUCAUGCUUGCUAGUAGCUUGCAGCUCUGGCGAGAACACACAUCUGCUCGCCACGGACGACGAUCUGCACGAUCCACUCCGCUCGCAGGAGAGGGCAACCACCAUCAGAAGAUGCUGCAACCUCGGCGCGGCGGAGCUACAAGCGUAGGCCCGGAAGCUGCAACCAGCCAGACAAAUAAUGGAACCGGCGACAGCCGUGCUGCGACGGCGACAGCGGUGGUCCACCAUUGCUGGAACCAGCUACUUUUUUUGCUGGAACCACCAUUAAGUUUUGCUGGAACAGCUUUUUUUGUUGCUACAAUCAACUAGUGUGUUUUGCUGCUGAGUUUUUUUUGCUGGAACCAGCAUUUGUGAUUGCUGGAACAGCCUUUUUGUUUGCUACAAUCGUCUUCCUCAGAUUUGUACUGCUGAGAUUAUUUUUGUUGGAAACGUCAUCAAUUUUUGCUACCAUUGUAAUCUUGUUUUGCUGGAACCAGCAUUUUUUCCAAGGAUCCAACUAGAUGUGAC
rnacentral:lncRNA from 1 species